rnacentral:misc_RNA from 1 species
AACGCACGAGACCUGCGGACCUGCGGAAGGAUCAUUAUAGAGUGGUAAACCCUCUGUAAAAGGGGGGGACCUCCUGUCCUUUGUAGGCUCUUUUUUAAAGGGCUUUUUUUAAUUUUCUGCUUCGGUGGGGUUAUCCCACCGGAACAACCUCAAAACUCUGAUCAAAAAAUCGUUCUGUCUGAGAACUUUUUAUAAUAAAAAAAACUUUCAGCAAUGGAUCUCUAGAUCGGAAGAGCACAC